AUAAACACUCAGCCGAGAGAAGUCAGGACAAGGCUGGUGGAGUUGCCGCAGGGAGGCGUCAGUCAGCCAAAGUGAGCCCAAAACCAGUGGAUCUUCCAACCUCCAUAUGGUGUUAGAACUUGCUGCUACUUCGGGCUCACACAUCAGCGUCUUCCACCACACCACAGCCAAGUAUUAUUGGCUGUUUGACUUUGUCUCCUCUCCUUUCAUCUGGUAUCACCACCACCACCACCAUCCAUUUGUUCUUUGAGCCCUCCGUUGUCCGCUGAUUUUGAAUGCCACUAACCCUGCUUACGUUUUGCCAGCAGUUCUGCCGUAAACUGCAACUCAUGAGCCAUCUUCCUCGGUGCGCUUUACAAGGUGGAGACCAGCGACCUCCCGCGUCAGCACUGGGUCCGGGCUGGAGCACCAAAGUCCUGAGCACCAGGGUGGAUUCGUUCUGUGUCUGUUCCCGCUGGCGCACUCAUUCGAAUGGACUCGCUGGCCUGGACUUAAAGGAUAGGAGUAGAUGGGCGGUCCUGUCUGCAAAUCUUUCUUGCAUCUAUCAAAUCAAAACAGAAAAAGAUGGAUGGAAGUAUUAUGUCAUAUUGCAUUGCUGAGCACAUGAGCAGAGCCAUCACUAUUUAAAGCCUGGAAUUGCCACUGAAAUGAAUGGGGACUUUAAUCCUAUGCGAGUGAUCCUGCAACAUCAUCUGUCACUCAGCAAGUCUCGGACUUCCACGUUCAGCAGCACAUAGGCAGACGUCUAAGACUUACUGAUGCUUCAUUGGAUGAACCACCAACUCCAGCCCAACACAGCUCACUCAGUUCUCUGCAGAGUCUAUUUCUUAUUCAGCAUGAUUAACUAAAAGGCUUUUGGAUGAAUACCUCAUCAUGCUGUGCUCUGGAACUUCCUCCUUAAAACUGUCACGGCCUUAAUAUCUGGUUUCCUGACUGACCUUUAAGCAACUUCACCUAUUAUCGGCUUGGCGUCCAUUUUUAAAAAGGACAUUAGUGAUGUUAAGCAAAGCCAAAUUGCUGCCAUUGAAUUUGCAGACUCCCAAUGAAAUAAAAAUGUGCUUCUUAUGUAUUACACACUCAAAGGCUCCAAACAAAAAUGUCAACCUAUCAACCCUGAAGGCUCAAUGAUUUGCCUGUAUAACAAACAUGUUUUCACACCAUUCAGCUAACCCAUUACCAUCAAUACCUCAGUAUAAUUUAAUAAGCAACUAGAAUAAAAUCUCAAAAUAAGGCAGCUCUCCAUGUCUUUUAAGAGGUUUGAUAGUGCAGGGUAAUUUCCACUUCAAUUCUAGUUAAUUAUGUACUUUUUUUUAAACACAAUUAAAUUAUUUAUUUCCAUAACUGCAUUUCAAAUAAAUUAAUUCUUGGGGUGUGGGGAAUGCUGGCAAGGCAGGCAUUUAUUGCUGACCUCUAGUUGCCUUGGGAGAAUUACAGUGAGUGUUCCUUUAGAACUGUUAAAGGUUUCAGCCAAUGCACUGGAAGAGAACUAUAGCUUAUGAGCAAUAAAAUAAUUGCAACCCCAAGGAAAUUGAUAAAGCAGAAUUAAAUAAUUGGUUAAAAAAAAGUGUUAGGAGAUCAUAGGGCAGAAAACUGAUGACAGCAGGAAGGUACCAAAGGACCGGCUAGAUAGGCACAAAGGUAACAAACGGAAUUCAAUCCGGAGUAGUGGUAUUUGGGAAGAGUGAACUUAUCAAAAGAAUACAAUAAUAAGCAAUAGAGUAAUAAAAGAUAUGGAAGAACAGACAGAUCUUGGAGUAUAUAUUUACAGAUCCCAGAUGAACAAUUCAAGGAGAGAAAAAACAUUGUGAAGAAGGCAUGUGAAUAAUUUUUUAAUUGGCUAACUUAAGGAAUAUAAGCACAGGGAUGUUCUGCUUAAACUAUAAAAGAAGCAGGUCGCAGCAAGUGUACGGGUUUAAUCCCCACGUUAGGGUGAGGAUGUGAUGGCACUGGAGAUGCUGGGAGGAGAUGAAUGAGCAUGUUGCCAGGUCUGGCUAUUUUUAGUUAUGACAAAAGAUUUGCUAUUUGGGGUUGCUUUCUUUAAAAUAGUGACAGCUAAGUGAAGAUUUAAAUUGAGGUCCUUAUAACGACAAGAGACCUAGAUAUAGUGUCCAGGAAGGACCUAUUUCCCUUGGCAGAGAUACCACUAACAAGGCGGCAUUAAUUUAAGAUAAUUGGUAGAAAGAUUAAAAGGGAGUUGAGGACAUUUUUCACCUUGGUAAAUGGUAUAAGGAACUUGCUGGCUGAAGGGUGAUGGAGACAGGAAUUCUUAAUGUCUGGUUAAUCAUUUGAAUGUGCCAUACCCCACAAGGCUACAAGACCAGGAGUUGGGAAUUAGAAUUAGGCAUGAUAGCUGUUUCACAAGAUGGAACUUACAUGAUGCUCUGAAUGGACCCCUUUGUGUGCUAUGAAUUUCUAUGGUCCUUAUAGUAUAGAACCUUGAAUAAUCUCUGAAUUAAUGAAAAUAGUUGAUUAUAUCAUCAGACAUUGUAUGCUUCUGUUAGAUUUUAAUAAUUUAGAAGUUCAUGUCUUUAGUCUCAAAAGAUGUCUACAGUUCAGCGUUUAGUUCUUCGGGUUAAUGGGUGUGUGCCAACAUGAUUCCAAUUAAUGUAACGGAAGCUGCUUUGUACUAAGUCUGUCUCUGCGAGGCAUAGGACUGAGUGUGGCUAGACUUGCAUCAGAUUGGAGCCUUAAAACCAGCAAAGUUCUAUUCUUUAAUGGAUUCCACUAACGACAUGCACACUUUAAGAAUUAAAAUUCUUUGCUUUCCCAAAUCUGUUACAGAGUUAGCAACCCACUACAGAAUAUACUGCA